AGAGUUUGAUCCUGGCUCAGAUUGAACGCUGGCGGCAGGCUUAACACAUGCAAGUCGAGCGGAGAGAGGUAGCUUGCUACUGAUCUUAGCGGCGGACGGGUGAGUAAUGCUUAGGAAUCUGCCUAUUAGUGGGGGACAACAUUUCGAAAGGAAUGCUAAUACCGCAUACGUCCUACGGGAGAAAGCAGGGGAUCUUCGGACCUUGCGCUAAUAGAUGAGCCUAAGUCGGAUUAGCUAGUUGGUGGGGUAAAGGCCUACCAAGGCGACGAUCUGUAGCGGGUCUGAGAGGAUGAUCCGCCACACUGGGACUGAGACACGGCCCAGACUCCUACGGGAGGCAGCAGUGGGGAAUAUUGGACAAUGGGCGCAAGCCUGAUCCAGCCAUGCCGCGUGUGUGAAGAAGGCCUUAUGGUUGUAAAGCACUUUAAGCGAGGAGGAGGCUACUUUAGUUAAUACCUAGAGAUAGUGGACGUUACUCGCAGAAUAAGCACCGGCUAACUCUGUGCCAGCAGCCGCGGUAAUACAGAGGGUGCAAGCGUUAAUCGGAUUUACUGGGCGUAAAGCGCGCGUAGGCGGCUAAUUAAGUCAAAUGUGAAAUCCCCGAGCUUAACUUGGGAAUUGCAUUCGAUACUGGUUAGCUAGAGUGUGGGAGAGGAUGGUAGAAUUCCAGGUGUAGCGGUGAAAUGCGUAGAGAUCUGGAGGAAUACCGAUGGCGAAGGCAGCCAUCUGGCCUAACACUGACGCUGAGGUGCGAAAGCAUGGGGAGCAAACAGGAUUAGAUACCCUGGUAGUCCAUGCCGUAAACGAUGUCUACUAGCCGUUGGGGCCUUUGAGGCUUUAGUGGCGCAGCUAACGCGAUAAGUAGACCGCCUGGGGAGUACGGUCGCAAGACUAAAACUCAAAUGAAUUGACGGGGGCCCGCACAAGCGGUGGAGCAUGUGGUUUAAUUCGAUGCAACGCGAAGAACCUUACCUGGCCUUGACAUAGUAAGAACUUUCCAGAGAUGGAUUGGUGCCUUCGGGAACUUACAUACAGGUGCUGCAUGGCUGUCGUCAGCUCGUGUCGUGAGAUGUUGGGUUAAGUCCCGCAACGAGCGCAACCCUUUUCCUUAUUUGCCAGCGAGUAAUGUCGGGAACUUUAAGGAUACUGCCAGUGACAAACUGGAGGAAGGCGGGGACGACGUCAAGUCAUCAUGGCCCUUACGGCCAGGGCUACACACGUGCUACAAUGGUCGGUACAAAGGGUUGCUACCUAGCGAUAGGAUGCUAAUCUCAAAAAGCCGAUCGUAGUCCGGAUUGGAGUCUGCAACUCGACUCCAUGAAGUCGGAAUCGCUAGUAAUCGCGGAUCAGAAUGCCGCGGUGAAUACGUUCCCGGGCCUUGUACACACCGCCCGUCACACCAUGGGAGUGGGUUGCAAAAGAAGUAGGUAGCUUAACCUUCGGGAGGGCGCUUACCACUUUGUGAUUCAUGACUGGGGUGAAGUCGUAACAAGGUAACC
rnacentral:rRNA from 1 species